rnacentral:ncRNA from 2 species
CCCAGCAGUGAACUGCUGGGCUACUAUCAGAUGUCCCUUCGGGACA